AUUCUAUGAUAGAUCAAUGUUAUUCAUGGUCAUGCUACACGGAGAACCCUCUUAUAAUGUACCCCAUGUUCUGCCUUUACCACGUCUACCAUUCUCUCUUUAUUAGAAAUGUAAUCAUGGUAAUAGGAAUGUAAAGCCGAUCGUUCCCUGUAUAGCACUUCAAUGCGAUGUAAAAAUAGUGCCCUAUAAUGGGAUAAUGAUAGAAGAUUGCUUUGAAGAACAUCCCAUUCGUUUGUCUAUGAAGGUUGGUGCCUUGAUAUUGAAACCUACGUAGGUUGCACGAGUAACUGGAAGAUAGAACUUGGAGGGGAUCGAACUCUUUUGAUCAAGCAAUGGAUAUUUUUGGAGAAGAUGCGAGCACACUUAUCUGGAAGUAUGGCGGUAUGACUUCUGCGGCACUUGGUGCCAUCACAACUCUAACAUUGAUUGUAUUAAAUGCACUAUCAGACGGAGAAUCAAGAAGGCGGUACGAACAUCCACAUGGUGACGAAGAUUCUAAAAACCAUCACGGAGCAAUUGGGAAUGACGAUCGACGACCAAGUCAAUCUAGUAGCACCUCCAGUGACAAUAAUGCGAAAAAUGGCGAUGACAUGGAAAGAGAUCUCGAUGAUAACGAGGUCGUUGACGAUGUUGAUGGGGAAUUUGACAGAGGCAAAAUAAAUCAUUACGAGCAUUCGAAUGGAGCAGAGGUUGGUUCUACGAAUCAACUGAAUAAAAGAAGUUUGAAGAAGAAAUUGUAUUCGAAAUGACUUUUCGGCCACAUUGAAUCGAACUGGGUUUCCAUUUACAUUUUGUUAGGAUUUAGGAAUUUACACUUGUGAAAAGGGUUAAGAAUAUCGUUUAGACAGGAUUGAUGUUCAAAACUAUUUUAUCCAUCAGGUUGAUAACAUUACAAGGAAGAAAACGACAAAAAGUAUUUCAUACUCUGAAGUUGAAAGGGCUUGCACGUCUUGGAAAAUAUUGUUAACAUCCCAAUGGAAAAGGGGCACUUUACGAACGCUAUAACGAGGAUGUACCAUUAUAAUAAUAGUUUGUUCGAAAUCUGAAAAAUUGGUAUGGUUUAGCAACUUUAUUAAUAUAAUGAUAUUCAUACCCAUACUUAGUUAUAUUUUGUUUCAACAAUAAUACAGAUACAGUUCAUAUAUUGAAUAAGACACAACAAGAGAGCCCAGCCUAUAGGGUCACACCCCUGACGCAAGCAGGGCAUAUUAAAUUACCGGACCUGGUGGCUCAGUGGUAGAGCGUCCGCCUCAUGAACGAGAGGUCGUGGGUUCGAUCCUCGGCCGAGUCAUACCAAAGAGUUGUAAAAAUGGGACCUUCUGCCUUCUUGCUAGGCGCUCAGCAUUUACAUUGGAGAAGGGUAAUAAUAACAUAUAAUGUUAUGCAGGGCUUGCUGGUAGAACAGUUUCCUCACUGAAGUGGCUACCCUGGGUAAAUAAAACGUUAUUAUUAUUAUUAUAUUAACAUAAUGAAAUAGUGAGCAAUAUGAAUUUCUAAUAGUAACGAACCUGCGAUGCCACAAUAAACCUGUAGAGGUUUUAAAUGGGAAUCCAACCCAAAUAUAAACCUGUUUUAGAGGCAAAAGAUUAAGCAGACAAGUUGAUAGGUAAAAGUUUGAACAAUAUCGGACAAACAAUGCUAAAGUUAUGAAUUUUUAAAAGAUGUAAAUAUUGGUAAUUGAUACAAGGCUGGUUCCCUUUUAAUUAAGUUUAAUUACUCAUCCAGGUCAGAACCAAGUUUUAGCCUCGGUAUAGAUUAGGCCUAAGGCCAGAUUUCUGAUACUGCUGAAUUAAUUGUCUUUACCGCGUGGUCAGGAUGAGCAAAGGCUAAUUAAUAAGUCACUAAUUGUCAGAGACAAUGAGAGACACGGUGAACGCUACUGUCUAUUUGGACGUACUGAUUAAAGACAUACUUAUGUUUCUGGUAUAAUCCAUGGAUGUAACUGUAAGUAAAUUGAAAAUGGGAACAAAAAAUGCCGGGGCAAAAUGGGGGGGGGGGGUAUACAAAGCGCCAUCCCCCUAAUGAAUAGAAAGCGCGAGCGGAUCUUCGGCCAUGGUCGGAUACCUCAGAUUGAAAGGAUCACGGUUCUUCUGAAAAGGAAAGGAAGUGGGAUUGUUGGAGGAUAUAAUAGCGGAUAUUUUGUAGAGGGAUAUUGAAGAAGGUAAAGUAUAUUAUUAUGUUCAGUGAUAGGAAUGCUUUUACUUACACAUGUAUGUAUAUAUGGACCUGCACUACAAGGAAAAAGAGCAUAGUUUUUCUAUGAAAUAAAUAACAGUAUGU